rnacentral:rRNA from 1 species
AGUGAACGCUGGCGGUAGGCCUAACACAUGCAAGUCGAACGGCAGCACAGUAAGAGCUUGCUCUUACGGGUGGCGAGUGGCGGACGGGUGAGGAAUACAUCGGAAUCUACUUUUUCGUGGGGGAUAACGUAGGGAAACUUACGCUAAUACCGCAUACGACCUACGGGUGAAAGCAGGGGAUCUUCGGACCUUGCGCGAUUGAAUGAGCCGAUGUCGGAUUAGCUAGUUGGCGGGGUAAAGGCCCACCAAGGCGACGAUCCGUAGCUGGUCUGAGUGGAUGAUCGGCCACACUGGAACUUGGACACGGUCCAGACUCCUACGGGAGGCAGCAGUGGGGAAUAUUGGACAAAGGGCGCAAGCCUGAUCCAGCCAUACCGAGUGGGUGAAGAAGGCCUUCGGGUUGUAAAGCCCUUUUGUUGGGAAAGAAAAGCAGCAGGUUAAUACCCCGCUGUUCUGACGGUACCCAAAGAAUAAGCACCGGCUAACUUCGUG